CGUGCACCAGUGGGGUCCCUCAGCCCGGCCUGUGGGACCAAAACCGGCUCUCCAACAUCCACCGAGGGGUCCCGGAUUAUGAGAGGGCAUAGGCCAGGCCGAGGGACCCCACUGGUGCAUG
rnacentral:pre_miRNA from 1 species